AAAAAGCUAAAAGAUCUGUUGUGAUGUUGCCCGGGGCGCCUUGCUUUCCAUCUCCUUCAACAUCACAACUGCAGCCACAUCAGUCAAUUUCUGCCAACCAGCAGAAUCAAAAAUUAUUUUCUUUUUUUGAUAACUACACACAUGGAUACAGAUAUUGAUCUGAAUCAUGUUUUUGUGACUUGUUUAAGGAAGUGUGAAUGAUCCACAAUCUCUUCGAGAUGUUAGCAAUGUCAUUGAUGUUUCAAAACAAAUUCUGGACAGAAAUCUACAAGUUAUUUGAGAGUUUGGAGAGGAGAAUCAUGCUGAAACUAGACCAAAUCCAGGACAACAUCACAGCAGCGGUCGGAACAAUGCAGCAGUCAACGAGUCAGCCAAGCACCACUGUCUCUGAUCUUACAGAGAUACUAGAGGUGCCUUGUAAGACUGUGGAGGAACUAAAAGAGCUGUGUGAUUCGUUAUCUGUGUCUUCAGAGUGGAGGCAGCUUGGGAGGUGGAAUUAGCAGGAUGCUGAAAAAAUUGGAGAUAACUCCUUAUGGAAACAUUACAUUUACAAAGGGAGAAAGGGAAAACGUUAGAUGCCAACGAGAAGAAUUGCCAUCGGAAUAACCCCAACCACAGCUGACAACCAGACAGACACACACACACACACACACAAACACACACACACACCACUGCCCCUCCCCUCUGCCAGAAACAGAAGAAGGUGAAAGUGAAAGUCAGCAGCUCCAUUUUGUGUCCAGGGGAAAAUAAACCAUUUCAGAAGUAAAAACACAGGUUUGAUUUAACACACCGAUGUUGGAGUGAAGUAAACGUGUGUCCUGCUGUAAUCUGGAGAAGGAGACAUGACCUCCAGCAUGAGUGUGUCUGGAAAACAGGACUUAAAGAAAGACAAGAGAAUGAUGGAGGGAAAGAGAUCAGACUCACCAGAACCCAGCUGUGUGUCCAUGAAGAGUGAGGAGUCAAUGGGACUUCCAUUUAACUUCAGAGACAGAGCCAGUUCUCCUGAUGUGAGACCACAAAAGAAGAAAUCAAACAUCAGCAGAAAUCAGCUGGACUCCAUAUUCAAGG